UAGAUGUUUUGUAAAAAAAAAAAAUAUCGAUAGAAGCAAUUUUACAUAAUGUUCAAUUUCGUUUCAAAACGGUACCCGAAAGUUUUCCUUCCAAUAAUGCACGAUUUAGUCGAUGACCUCGAUUAUACCAUUGGAAGUUUUCAACACCUGUCUUAAUCUUUAGCAAGUUAUUUUAUUCUUGCAUGAUUUAGAUGAAGAAAAUUCUACAUAAACCCAAAAAUACCGAGUUAAAAAAUAAUUUUAACUGAAAGAUUGGUACGUAAAUUUAAUUCGAUUGUAUCUUUCAAGAAUAGACAAAAUUAGAUGAGAGCAACGUAAAUACCGGUACGUUGUACUUGCACCAUAAAAAGCAACUCCGAUAUAUUCAUAUCUUGUGAUUAGUCAUCCAAAAAUUACUUUAUUAAACACCACUCUGAUUCUACGCUGAAGUACUCUGAAGUUGAUAUCAAAAAGAUGAUGGAGUUCUUCAAUGACGAAGCCUUUGGUGAUAAGGUCUUCUAACAGUCUGUUGGAAGAAUUGCCAUGGGCACGAAUUGUGCUCCUUGAUUUGCUUACCUGAUUUUGUAUUCUAAUGAGGCAGAAUUAAUUCAACAGCAUCUGAGAAGAAAAAAAUAUAUUGCUGUGACCAUUUAGAUACAUCAACGAGGCCGUAUUAGCAAUACUCAAUUUCAUUAAUUUGUCGAUUCGUUAUCCAUGUAUCCAAGAAUAAAAGACACCACGGAAUCUUCCAUAUCUGCUUCAUACUUGGAUAUUAUUGAACACAGAUGUUAAUGACAAACUAACAACUCAAAUUUGCCAUUGUCAACUUCCCAUUUUUAAGUAGCAAAUGUUCCAUUUUCAGUAACAUAUGGUGUUUAUGCCUCUUAAUUGAUUCGAUACACGAAAACAUGUUUUCUGUAUGAUGCAUUUUAAAGCUGUUUUAGGCAAGCUACUAACAAAUAAAUUGAUGAUAAACAAGUUUCAACAGUCUAUAUUAAAGCCAGCAUUUCGCAAAUUCUUUGUAGAUUAUAAUGUAAUUUGCAAAUAUUACAUACCAUUGGGUCGAAAGAAGUCUGAAGUGUUUUAUACCGGUUGGUAUUUCGCUCUUUACAUACAUGAUUUACUACGGAUUACUCCGUUUAUCUGCUCAAGAUACAGGGCAAACGGCGGGUGUGAAAUUUCAACAGGAGAUGCUACUCCUCCUAGGCACCCCUGGUGUGCUCCGGGGUCCAUGUUAUAAUCAUGUAUACAACACAACAAGUUUACAGAUGCAUGAAAAAGUGAAGAUAACGAACAAUGAUUAAUCUCAUAACUCCAAUGAGGAAUACAAAAUUAACAGUUGGACAAACAGUGAACUCUGGAUACACCAGAGAUGGGAUCAAGUGCUUAGGAAGAGUAACCAUCCCCCGGUAGACUGGUCCCACCCGCCGUGAGCCGAAUAUCUUGAUCAGGUAAACGAGGAAAUCUGCAGUCAAAAUCAGUGUGCCAAGAACGGUCUAACAAUCGGUAUGAAACACGUCAGACAUCAUUCCACUCAGUGAAAGGUUGUAUUGACAAAAUAGAGUAAUCCGUAGUCAAAAUUUGUGUAAAGAACGGCUUAACAAUCGGUAAUGAAACAUGUUAAAUAUAUAACAAAACAAGUUUACAAAUGUAAGCAACAGAACAAGUUUACAAAUGUAUGCAAAAUAUCAAAGCUUCAGUUACGCAUGUACAUCACAACACGUUUAGAGAUACAGACGCCGAUUGUUUUAAGGUCAUUAUAACGGUAACAUUAUUAUUCCAUGUAGAAUAAAAUAUUGUGUGAUUAGAUUAGAAUGUAAACAUAUAUAUUAAUUAUUUCUUUUUAAAACAAUGUAUUCUCUAGUAUUCUAAUUUUGUUAGAAAUAUGUACAUGUAUAUAUACUAAACGGUAAUGUCAUAUCAAGAAGAAAGACCUAUUUUCAGGAUUAUAGAUUAUUACUUCAUCUGAUUUAUAAAUAGUGAUAAUCCACUAAAUUAAUUUUGUUUUCUUUCUAGAAAAAACAAUUGUGUCAUAACUUGACAUCAUUCCUGAUUCUACAUCCAUUUCAAUAGCUUUUCUACUUUGAAAAAGCUUGUAAAGAUUUUGCACAAUAAAGGAUCGUAUACAUGUAUCUCACAUGUUCCUACCCUAGUCUACUGAAUUGGUGUUAGUAAGUCCAUGGGAUAUGAAGACGGUAGACAGCAAAUGAUACCAGACAGUUGUUAUAGCCUUCAAAAGAGGCUAAUACGAUGCAAUGUCGACCAAACAGACGUAUAUUGACCGAGGUUGAUCGGAGCUCUGUUAAGUCGAUGUAAUGUUGUAUCGACCUAUUACAUGUGUUUCUUUAAAACGUGAUAUUGCUUAUUUUCAUAUACAAUAUUUACUCAAUUAACGGAUUGAAUAGAGUGGAUGAUAUAAGAACGAAAGCGUAUCAAGGAACCGUACGGUGUACGAAUUGAAAUUUGUGACGUACAUGUAUGUAUACGGGGAUUGUUAAGAAAUUAAUGAGGCAAUGAAUACUACAAGGGCAGUAAAAUAGAAAUGAAUAUAUUCAUAAAGUAUUUGUAUUAUUUUUCCUCAUGGCAAUGUUCUAAAUCUAAACAUCAUUGAUCUCAGUACACCACAGAAGUGCCACAAAUUGUUUACAUAAAACCAAGCUUUCUGAUGGCGCGGCAUUGCACAGUAUCCGUAACAGCGGAACAUAACAAGUAGCAGAAGCUCUAAUGAGUUUUUGGCAGACAUCAUAAUCAUUUAGUAAAAUAAAUUAUUAUCAAAAACAUCAAUUCUUGAAUCUGUGCAAAACUCUGCAUGCACACACACGUUGUUGUUCACACCUGGUGCGUUUACAACUAUAUAAUGCCAUGCUCCGAGUGUCUGUUUCAAUGCAUUGAUCAACGUCCAAGUUUCGUUGGCGAUUUUUGUGCAGAAUCUUGGUCGAUGGUUUCACAUGAAAUCCUCUGGAAUAGUGAUAAUCUGAAUUCUCAGACACUUCAUUGUCAUUCUAUGUACAUCUUUCUAUAUUUCAAUUGGUGUCUUACUCAUGGUUCAAGAAAAUGUGAUAAAAAUACCCGCUGUUCUGUUUAGUUUCUAAUCUUUUAAUGACACCGCGAAUCAUUUUUAACGACUUCCGUAAACGUUAAUGUAAAACCCUCUUGUAUCGUUUUAACUACUGGCACAGCUGGAUCGCAAAUAUCUCUAUUUACCUUAGAUUUAAUGAAAUUACAUGUUUUACCACAAUGAGGAGGUCCAGCCAAGCGGCUUUACACAGCUACUGUACACAGUAAUGACCGUUGCUUUCUUUGCUUUUCGUGAGAAGCAAUUCAUGUGCGAAUCUAGAGGGGAGGGGGCCGGACCCAUCUCUAGAAUUUUCAAAGUAUAUGCCAUCAUGAGUUAUGAAAGAAAAUAAGUUAUUAAAUUUCUGAGUGGCGGAUCCAGGACGUUUUAAAUGGGAGAGGACAAUAGGCUGGGGGCUCCAGGAUUUCGAGGCUUUUUAUGUUACUUUUAUUUUUCUAGCUAUACUUAAUAGAUAAUAAAAUCAAUAAUUAACAAU